UCGUUUGUUAGAGACAUAGACUCUUGUCCAAAUAUAUUAAUAGCUUAUCGAAUUUUAUUUACUGCACCAGUCACUAUAGCAUAAGCUGAACGCAGUUUCUCAAAAGUUAAGUUAUUGGGAAACUAUUUGAAAUCAUCAAUGUCAAAGGAGAGAUUGAAUGGUCUUGGUACUUUAUGCAUUGAGAAAGAAAAGUUGGAUGAAAUAAAUACUGAAGUGGUUAUUGAUGACUUUUCUUCCAUAAGUGUUAGGAGAAACAACAAGAUCUGA
rnacentral:rRNA from 1 species